UACGGGGGGAGCAAGCGUUGUUCGAAUUUACUGGGCGUAAAGGGCGCGUAGGCGGCCAGCACAAGUCAGUUGUGAAAUCUCCGAGCUUAACUCGGAAAGGUCAACUGAUACUGUGCGGCUAGAGUGCAGAAGGGGCAACUGGAAUUCUUGGUGUAGCGGUGAAAUGCGUAGAUAUCAAGAGGAACACCUGCGGCGAAGGCGGGUUGCUGGGCUGACACUGACGCUGAGGCGCGAAAGCUAGGGGAGCGAACGGG
rnacentral:rRNA from 1 species